GACGAACGCUGGCGGCGUGCUUAACACAUGCGAGUCGAACGGAAAGGCCCUGCUUGCAGGGUACUCGAGUGGCGAACGGGUGAGUAACACGUGGGUGAUCUGCCCUGCACUUCGGGAUAAGCUUGGGAAACUGGGUCUAAUACCGGAUAGGAGCCAUCUUUAGUGUGGUGGUUGGAAAGUUUUUUCGGUGUAGGAUGAGCUCGCGGCCUAUCAGCUUGUUGGUGGGGUAAUGGCCUACCAAGGCGGCGACGGGUAGCCGGCCUGAGAGGGUGUACGGCCACAUUGGGACUGAGAUACGGCCCAGACUCCUACGGGAGGCAGCAGUGGGGAAUAUUGCCCAAUGGGCGCAAGCCUGAUGCAGCGACGCCGCGUGGGGGAUGAAGGCCUUCGGGUUGUAAACUCCUUUCGCUAGGGACGAAGCUUUUUUGUGACGGUACCUAGAUAAGAAGCACCGGCUAACUACGUG
rnacentral:rRNA from 1 species